CGGAGGAAAAGAAACUAACAAGGAUUCCCCUAGUAACGGCGAGUGAAGCGGGAAGAGCUCAAAUUUGUAAUCUGGCGGCCUUUGGCCGUCCGAGUUGUAGUCUCGAGAAGCGUUUUCUGCGUCGGACCGUGUACAAGUCCCUUGGAACAGGGCGUCGUAGAGGGUGAGAAUCCCGUCUUUGACACGGACUGCCGGUGCUUUGUGAUGCGCUCUCAAAGAGUCGAGUUGUUUGGGAAUGCAGCUCAAAACGGGUGGUAAAUUCCAUCUAAAGCUAAAUAUUGGCGAAAGACCGAUAGCGAACAAGUACCGUGAGGGAAAGAUGAAAAGCACUUUGGAAAGAGAGUUAAACAGUACGUGAAAUUGCUGAAAGGGAAACGCUUGAAGUCAGUCGCGUCUCCCGGGACUCAGCCGUGCCCUAUCGGGCGCGGUGUACUUCCUGGGUGUGACGGGCCAGCAUCGAUUUCGGCCGUCGGAGAAAGGCCUUGGGAAUGUGGCACCUUCGGGUGUGUUAUAGCCCUGGGUCGCAUGCGACGGUCGGGAUCGAGGACCGCAGCACGUUUCUCCUUCCUUCACGGGGAGGGGCUCGGGGUUCGCCCACGCAAACGUUGCUUAGGAUGCUUGGCGUAAUGGCUUUAAGCGACCCGUCUUG
rnacentral:rRNA from 1 species